rnacentral:rRNA from 1 species
GGGGUAAUGGCCCACCUAGGCGACGAUCCCUAGCUGGUCUGAGAGGAUGACCAGCCACACUGGAACUGAGACACGGUCCAGACUCCUACGGGAGGCAGCAGUGGGGAAUAUUGCACAAUGGGCGCAAGCCUGAUGCAGCCAUGCCGCGUGUGUGAAGAAGGCCUUCGGGUUGUAAAGCACUUUCAGCGGGGAGGAAGGCGGUACGGUUAAUAACCGUGCCGAUUGACGUUACCCGCAGAAGAAGCACCGGCUAACUCCGUGCCAGCAGCCGCGGUAAUACGGAGGGUGCAAGCGUUAAUCGGAAUUACUGGGCGUAAAGCGCACGCAGGCGGUCUGUCAAGUCGGAUGUGAAAUCCCCGGGCUCAACCUGGGAACUGCAUUCGAAACUGGCAGGCUGGAGUCUCGUAGAGGGAGGUAGAAUUCCAGGUGUAGCGGUGAAAUGCGUAGAGAUCUGGAGGAAUACCGGUGGCGAAGGCGGCCUCCUGGACGAAGACUGACGCUCAGGUGCGAAAGCGUGGGGAGCAAACAGGAUUAGAUACCCUGGUAGUCCACGCCGUAAACGAUGUCGAUUUGGAGGUUGUGCCCUUGAGGCGUGGCUUCCGGAGCUAACGCGUUAAAUCGACCGCCUGGGGAGUACGGCCGCAAGGUUAAAACUCAAAUGAAUUGACGGGGGCCCGCACAAGCGGUGGAGCAUGUGGUUUAAUUCGAUGCAACGCGAAGAACCUUACCUGGUCUUGACAUCCACAGAACCUGGCAGAGAUGCCGGGGUGCCUUCGGGAACUGUGAGACAGGUGCUGCAUGGCUGUCGUCAGCUCGUGUUGUGAAAUGUUGGGUUAAGUCCCGCAACGAGCGCAACCCUUAUCCUUUGUUGCCAGCGGUCCGGCCGGGAACUCAAAGGAGACUGCCAGUGAUAAACUGGAGGAAGGUGGGGAUGACGUCAAGUCAUCAUGGCCCUUACGACCAGGGCUACACACGUGCUACAAUGGCGCAUACAAAGAGAAGCGACCUCGCGAGAGCAAGCGGACCUCAUAAAGUGCGUCGUAGUCCGGAUUGGAGUCUGCAACUCGACUCCAUGAAGUCGGAAUCGCUAGUAAUCGUGAAUCAGAAUGUCACGGUGAAUACGUUCCCGGGCCUUGUACACACCGCCCGUCACACCAUGGGAGUGGGUUGCAAAAGAAGUAGGUAGCUUAACCUUCGGGAGGGCGCUUACCACUUUGUGAUUCAUGACUGGGGUGAAGUCGUAACAAGGUAACCGUAGGGGAACCUGCGGUUGGAUCACCUCCUUACCUUAAA